rnacentral:rRNA from 1 species
GCCUGGCCGUAAAUCUUGAUGCUUUAUAUUAACCUGAGCAUCCGCCCGAGAACUACGAGCGCAAACGCUUAAAACUCUAAGGACUUGGCGGUGCCUCAAAUCCACCUAGAGGAGCCUGUUCUGUAAUCGAUGAUCCACGUUACACCCAACCAUUCCUUGCAAAACAGCCUAUAUACCGCCGUCGCCAGCUCACCCUGCCUGAAGGUCCAACAGUGAACGCAAUAGUUUUUACCGCUAAAAAGACAGGUCAAGGUAUAGCCUAUGGGAUGGAAGCAAUGGGCUACAUUUUCUAGCAUAGAAAACACGGCAAAGGGGCGUGAAACCGCCUCUGGAAGGAGGAUUUAGCAGUAAAGUGGGAUAAUAGAGCCCUCUUUAAGCCGGCCCUGAGGCACGU